UGGAAGGCUCUUUGUAUAGGAUAUUUUUAUAUUAGGAAGUGUCCUGGUUGGAAAUAACCACUAAACAUGCUGUCGUUAUGCUUAACCCAGGAGGAUGGAGACCCUCCUGUUUAGAGUUCAUAUUUUCAGUUAAGAAAUACAGUUAGACUUGUCAUAUUUAUUUAGACUGUCAGCAAGGGUUUAGUAACUAUGUAUUUAAUUUAUUACUGAUAUAAAAAUACUGAGGGGCUGAUGGAGAGUUGGCUCUUGAGUUAAGAGCACGGAUUGUUCUUGCAGAGGAUUAAGGUUCAAUGCCAGGUGGUUUACACCUGCCCAUAAUUCUAACUGAAAGGAGUCUAAUGACUCUGGCCUCCUCAGGCAUCUUCACUCAAAUGUACAAACCCUGCACACACACACACACACACACACACACACACACACACACACACACAAUCUUAAGAGUAAUAAAAAAGUUGUAGUUAAUAUUUUUUCAAAGUAUGUUAUAGAUAAACUGUCCAUUCUUUCAUUUGGAAGCUAAUUAUGUAGACCAUUUAAAUGGAUAUUAUAGAUGACAACUUAAUACAAUGUUUUCUCUAGGCCUAAAGAUGUCGGAAGACCCAAGGCUGAAGUUGCUGCAGAAUUCCUAAAUGACAGAGUUCCUAACUGCAACGUGGUACCGUAUCCUUUCAAAAGAAACUCCUCCCUGAUUAUAAAAGAUGCUUAGUAGAGAGCACAGCUGACGAAAAGGUCUGUCCGAGGGAGCCCCUUUCUAGUGAGGAAAUGCUGAUCAUUUGCUUUCCAGCCCAGCCUUCCCUUUAUGGUUUUGCUCAUGUUUUUGGCCUGACUUUUAAUUUGUAUAGGUGAUGUUGUUAUCUGCAUAUUUUCCAGUUUUAGUAUUAACUAAAUAUCUAUGCUAGAUGCAUCUUCACCUACGCCUUAUAUCUUGGACAAAAAUUUACUCACAGUGGAUCACAGAUGUAAUUUGUAAAGCUGUAAAAUGAGAAUAGUUCAGAUCAUCUUUGGGUUCUGAGGCUCGAUGGAGAGCACAGAGAGCACAUUGAAAUGAAUAGCUGUGGUCGGGAAAGACUGUAACGGGGCUAAAAGAACAGGCUAGACACUGGAGAGCACACUUAUAAAAGCAGCUGAGGAGAAGCCAUCUAGAGUUCAGUUAUUUCUGGGUAUCUGUGGGGGAUUGUUUCCCAGGCCCUUUCAAGGAAUCCAGAUCUAUUGAUCCUCAAGUCUACAUGCAAAUAGGUAGCAUGCCAGAGAUGGGGCUCAUUGGUAGUUCACUUGUCUGGCAUGCCCUUGGUUCAACCCACAGUACUGUAAAAUAAAUACUUAAAAUGUAUACUGUUUUCACAUUUGUGCUAUCCACAUGUCUUAGGUAGGGUUUUACUGCUAUGAACAGAUACCAUGACCAAGGCAACUCUUACAAGGACAACAUUUAAUUGGGACUGGCUUACAGGUUUAGAGUUCAGUCCAUUAUCAUCAAGACAGGAACAUGACAGCAUCCAGGCAGGCAUGGUACAGGAGAAGCUGAGAGUUCUACAUCUUCUGAAGGCUGAUAGCAAAAUACUGUCUCCCAGGCAGCUAGGAUGAGGGUCUUAAAGCCCUGGAUGACAGUAACACACCUGCUCCAAAAAGGCCACACGUAAUAGUGCCACUCCCUGGGCUAAGCAUAUUCAAACCAUCACAACACAUCUGUAUAUUUAUCUAUAUCUGAUGUCUUAAAAUAUCUUUUAAUUAUUUAUAAUGCCUAUUGUGGUUAGAUGCUAUAAAAAAUAGUUAUCAUACUGUGUUAUUUGGGGAAUAGUGAAAAGACAAAAUCUGUUAAUACUCAUGACUGGCAGUUUUUGUUUUGUCAUAUAUUUUUGACCCAGGGUUGGUUGAAUCUAUGCAUGGAACACCUUCAGAUAUGGAAGCUUGAGUGUUUGUUAAAGAAUUUCUAAAACUUAGCAGAAAAACAACCCAUCCAUUUAAAAAGUGGAUAAAGGGAUAGUUCACUGGAGACAGAUGACAGAAAUCUUACAAAUGGUGUUUGUCAUCCAGGAAGACAGCAGUGACCCCCACUGUUGAGGAAGUUUAAGGCCAGCCUGGACAACUUGUGGAUCCAGUAUCAAAAUAAAAUUAAAAGCACCGGGAUGUAGCUCAGUUGUAGAGUACUUGCCUAACCUGUAUGGGCCCUAAUUCAAUCCAAUAGC
rnacentral:lncRNA from 1 species